rnacentral:tRNA from 1 species
GGGGUUGUGGCUCAGUGGCAGAGCACUCGCCUAACAUGUGUGAGGCACUGGGUUCAAUUCUCAGCACCACA